rnacentral:rRNA from 1 species
AACGAACGCUGGCGGCAGGCUUAACACAUGCAAGUCGAACGCAUCCUUCGGGGUGAGUGGCAGACGGGUGAGUAACGCGUGGGAACGUGCCCUUCAGUUCGGGAUAACCCAGGGAAACUUGGGCUAAUACCGGAUACGUGCGAGAGCAGAAAGAUUUAUCGCUGAAGGAUCGGCCCGGGUCUGAUUAGCUAGUUGGUGGGGUAAUGGCCCACCAAGGCGACGAUCAGUAGUUGGUCUGAGAGGAUGAUCAGCCACAUUGGGACUGAGACACGGCCCAAACUCCUACGGGAGACAGCAGUGGGGAAUAUUGGACAAUGGGCGCAAGCCUGAUCCAGCCAUGCCGCGUGAGUGAUGAAGGCCUUAGGGUUGUAAAGCUCUUUCGUCCGGGACGAUAAUGACGGUACCGGAAGAAGAAGCCCCGGCUAACUUCGUGCCAGCCGCCGCCGUAA